rnacentral:rRNA from 1 species
UGAAUACGAGAUGCUACGCGUCGAAGCAGUGUAUGUCAGACUUCCAAGAAAAGCUCGCAAUGUCAUAAAUAAAGAAUGCCUGUACCAUAACCGACACAGGUGGGUAGGUAGAGUAUACUAAGGGGCGCGAGAUAACUCUCUCUAAGGAACUCGGCAAAAUAACUCCGUAACUUCGGGAGAAGGAGUGCCUUCUUUAAGAAGGUUGCAAUAACAAGAUCCAAGCAACUGUUUAUCAAAAACACAGGUCUCCGCUAAGUCGUAAGACGAUGUAUGGGGGCUGACGCCUGCCCAGUGCCAGAAGGUUAAAGAAGCUGGUUAGCAAUAGCGAAGCUGGUGACUGAAGCCCUGGUGAACGGCGGCCGUAACAAUAACGGUCCUAAGGUAGCGAAAUUCCUUGUCGGGUAAGUUCCGACCCGCACGAAAGGCGUAAUGAUUUGGAUACUGUCUCGGAGAGGGACUCGGUGAAAUAGACUUGUCUGUGAAGAUGCGGACUACCUGCACCAGGACAGAAAGACCCUAUGAAGCUUUACUGUAACCUGAAAUUGAAAUUGGACUUUAUUUGCGCAGUAUAGGUGGGAGGCGUUGAAAGUAAUCUUGCGGGACUAGUGGAGCCAUCAGUGAGAUACCACUCCUAUAAUGUUAGAUUUCUAACUUUGGAUCAUGAUCUGGUCAAAGAACAGUUUCAGGCGGGCAGUUUGACUGGGGCGGUCGCCUCCCAAAUGGUAACGGAGGCGUACAAAGGUUUCCUCUGAACGGGUAGAAAUCGUAUCUAGAGUGUAAAGGCAUAAGGAAGCUUGACUGUGAGACCUACAAGUCGAGCAGGGACGAAAGUCGGUCUUAGUGAUCUGACGGUGCUGAGUGGAAAGGCCGUCACUCAACGGAUAAAAGUUACUCUAGGAUAACAGGCUGAUCUCCCCCAAGAGUUCACAUCGACGGGGAGGUUUGGCACCUUGAUGUCGGCUCAUCGCAUCCUGGGGCGGUAGUACGUCCCAAGGGUUGGGCUGUUCGCCCAUGAAAGCGGUACGCGAGCUGGGUUCAGAACGUCGUGAGACAGUUCGGUCCAUAUCCGGUGUAGGCGUUAGAAUAUUGAGAGGAGCCUUCUCUAGUACGAGAGGACCGAGAAGGACAUACCUCUGGUGUACCAGUUAUCGUGCCAACGGUAAACGCUGGGUAGCUAUGUAUGGAGAGGAUAACCGCUGGAAGCAUCUAAGUGGGAAGCCCACCUCAAGAUGAG